AGGCAGCGCGGGGCUGGUGC
rnacentral:misc_RNA from 1 species